rnacentral:sRNA from 1 species
UCCUGCGCUCUCCUUCGCCUGCGGGCCGGCACUGCUCACCUCUCGUCCAGGGACAUGACGGGCACGCCAGGCGCCGCUGCCACCCGGGAUGGCGAGGCCCCCGAGCGCUCCCCGCCCUGCAGUCCGAGCUACGACCUCACGGGCAAGGUGAUGCUUCUGGGAGACACAGGCGUCGGCAAAACGUGUUUCCUGAUCCAAUUCAAAGACGGGGCCUUCCUGUCCGGAACCUUCAUAGCCACCGUCGGCAUAGACUUCAGGAACAAGGUGGUGAUUGUGGAUGGCGUGAGAGUGAAGCUGCAGAUCUGGGACACCGCUGGGCAGGAACGGUUCCGAAGCGUCACCCAUGCUUAUUACAGAGAUGCUCAGGCCUUGCUUCUGCUGUAUGACAUCACCAACAAAUCUUCUUUCGACAACAUCAGGGCCUGGCUCACUGAGAUUCAUGAGUAUGCCCAGAGGGACGUGGUGAUCAUGCUGCUAGGCAACAAGGUGAGUGGCUCCGGGGCAGGGUCAGCCCAGCCCUGCACUUCCUCAGCCCUAGCCAGCCCCAUAACCACCCAAGAACAGUUAUCUAGGCAUCC